AAAGCAUUUUUUUUUUAAGUAAGCAGAUGCGUAGCUACCUUACAGCGAGUAUGUAGUCUAAAGACAAGGGGGUCUUGACUCACUCUAGUUGAUCAAAGAUGGUGAAGAUUGAACCAGUCCCGAGUAAUUUCUCGUGUGGUGCGAUAAAUCUGGAUUUUACGCACGCCUUCUUACCCACGGUAUUCAUCCUGGUCUUCAUCUUCGGGACGGUUUUCAAUGUCUGGGGUCUCCGGGGCGUGUACAAGGGCUGGAAGAAGAUGGGAAACAUAAACGUGUUUGUGCUGAACCUCGGAAUAGCGGACUUGUUGUAUGUUUUUACGCUGCCCUUUUUGAUCCACUAUUACGCGCAAAAGAGCAAAUGGACUUUUGGAGCCGCCUUCUGUAAAGUGACCAGAUUCUGCUUCAACCUCAACCUGUACGGCAGCAUCGGCUUCCUCACGUGUAUCAGUAUCUACAGAUACCUGGGCAUCGUCCACCCCAUGAGGGUCAUGGGGAAGAUCAGCACCAGACACUCCGUAGUAAUCAGCGCCGUGGUUUGGACUCUGGUUCUCAUCCAAAUCCUCCCAGAUAUGUCCUUUGAAAAAACUCCGAGCAAUUCCUCCCAGUCGUGCUACGAUACAACGGAGGACAGCCGGAUCGACGGAUACCUGUCGUACAGCCUAGGCUGGAGCAUCACGGGGUUCGCCGUCCCGCUGCUCAUCAUCCUGGCCUGCUACGGCCACGUGGUGGUUGUCCUCGCCACGAACGCCAACGUGAACGCACUGCUGAAGCAACGGUGUCUGAAGCUGGUGAUCAUCCUGACCAUUCUGUUCGCCAUCUGCUUCAUCCCUUACCACGUGUUCCGUUAUCUCAACCUGCAGAGCAGGAGAUCAAAGCUUCAAGGGGUCUGUCACGCCAACUUCAGGAGCAUCUACAUCGCCCACCAGAGGAAGGGUGUUGGCGAGGAAACAACAGGAAACACAAACUCAGCUCCAACAACGGUCUGGCCUUGAGUCGGUAAGAAAAUAAUCCACAUGAAACAUUGUUGUAAAACUAAAAAACGAUUCGGUUAAUAUUAAUAUACAUUUCCUGCCAAAUGCAUGACUAAGAAAUCAUUUCAAAACUAUUCAAAACUAAUCCAAGAAUAAUUCAACAGUGUCAACAGUAGUAUUGCUAAGGUAUCGCUUCUGUUUUUAGUUUCAGGGUGAAACUGGGUUAUCAACGCACUGUAUUGUGUGUCCUGUGUGUUCCUCCGGAGCUUCACACCACGCUGCUGAACCGUACGGAGUCCCUGAACACUUUAUGAUGUGUGUUCAUGUUUGAUGAAUGUAGUAUGUGUAGUUCCCCCCCUGGUCUAGUCAACAUUCACUGGCUGGGUGUGAAACACUUCCAGUAACCGUCUCUUGUCUUGUUAUCUGAGGAUAUGGCACUGCUCCAAGCAGCAGGUUGGGAUCCGUUGGAUUUAGGCAGAACUCAGGUGCGUGCUUCCCUGGAGCACCUCCAAAAUUGCUGAUUCAAAUCUCAAGGACCAACUUCAAUCCAUCGAGGGGGGAAUCUAAAGGGGUCCUCCUGGAGACGUCUCAGUCUCUUUGGGAUCCUAUUGUGAUAAGAGGUGGUAGCAGGUGUGUUUAUGAACCUCACUCCAAUGGCUUGCAGAUCCAAACCGUGUCGUCUGUGUGAUGUCACUCCGUUGGUAGUGACAUCACACACAGUGGCCAAGCCUCCACAUGAAAGGGAAAAGGGAUUACGGAUUGACCGUACUUACAGUACACUUACUGUACAGUAAGUAUAGGAAGUGUAUCACGUGUAUAUACUAUUAUAUACUGAAUGGAAGUCGGUUGGUAUAAAUGCAACAUUAUGUACAUAGUCAUUCAUUGUCUAACAGUAUGCCAACUGAGUCUGUUCAGUACAUUAAUUAACUUGAUGGCAAUGUAAAUAACAGUAACAUUAGAUAGCCCCAUUUUAAUAUAAUAAGUAGUGUUCAUGUAAGAAGCGGUGAAUUUGAUACCAUAAAUGGGGUUAGCAUGACUCCUGUCUCUCUAUCCUGGCAGCCAUCCUUUUUCUUUCUUGUCUUCUUGCGGUUGGUGUUUGGAUGUGUAAAUCCUUCCUGGGUCCGCUGGAUUAGGAGCAUAGCCUGUUCCGCCACUGUCACUCAACAUUGAAAUCCUGCUGCAUGACUGUGAGGCACAGGGAUGACUGCCUCUCCGCGGAGUUCAUUUGUUUUGCUGACUGCAGAGAGGUGGGAAAGGAGGACCAUGUGACCAAACAGCCUGUGUCAGGGAUGGCUGCCGCAAUAUGGAUAUUAUCUAUCACCAAUUAACAUUUAUUUUCACAUAAAAAUAUUGCCUACAGCCCCUUUAACACACAUUUAAGUAUGUAACUAAGAGAAUGGGCUAUUAGACAUUGUCUAUUGCUUCAGUCUAGACAGGUCACGGUAUGUUUGGUUGUUCUAUUGAAUUAGGCAGCUAAAGGAUUAUUUAGACUAAAUUGAUUAAAUAGACUCAAGGAAGGAAAACGAUGCGCCUUGGGAUACAAUAGUUUUGGUUAUGAAAUUAUUGAGUUUACCUUCCUGUUAUCUAGAUAAACGCUGGACCUACAGUCUUGGGCGGGGUCAUACGGGGGUCAGCGUCCUGGAGGAAGACCAGGUGUUUCCCGCGGCGCUCACGGGCGCCAGCUAUGGCAGAUGGACGGUACACUGCGUCUACCACCUCUCCCCUCGGCUGCUGGGCCGCUGUGCUGCUUGGAAGGAGCCGGGCUGCCAUCCUUCAAAACGCAUUGGCCCUUAGAUCGUACUUCAAUGUUGCCGCCAUUUUGGAGGGGCCAAGAAUACAAAUAAGAGGAACCUGGGGAGCUGAAGUUUGUCUGCAUGAAAAGCAUUGAAAGUUGACCUUUCUAAACCAAGUAAAAUGAGUAGUUUCUGUAUACAUAUUAAGUCACGUUAUAUAUCUUAUAUUAAAUAUAUAUUUUGUAUUUAUUUUAUAUACUUUAUUUUGGUUCUAGAUCAUGAACCGUUGAAUAAAACGGACUGUUAAUCAUCA